rnacentral:rRNA from 1 species
AGUGAACGCUGGCGGCGGGCCUAACACAUGCAAGUCGAACGGCAGCACAGUAAGAGCUUGCUCUUACGGGUGGCGAGUGGCGGACGGGACAGGAAUACAUCGGAAUCUACUCUUUCGUGGGGGAUAACGUAGGGAAACUUACGCUAAUACCGCAUACGACCUACGGGUGAAAGCAGGGGAUCUUCGGACCUUGCGCGAUUGAAUGAGCCGAUGUCGGAUUAGUUAGUUGGCGGGGUAAAGACCCACCAAGGCGACGAUCCGUAGCUGGUCUGAGUGAAUGGUCGGCGACACUGGAACUGAGACACGGACAAGACGCCUACGGGAGGGACCAGUGGGGAACAGGGGACAAUGGGCGCAAGCAUGGUCCAGUCAGACCACGUGGGUGGCGAAGGCCUUGGGGGUGUAAUGCCCUCUUGUGGGGAAAGAAAAGCUGCAGGUUAAGACGCAGCUGUUCUGACGGUACCCAAAGAAUAAGCACCGGCUAACUACGUG